GAGUUUGAUCCUGGCUCAGGACGAACGCUGGCGGCGUGCUUAACACAUGCAAGUCGAGCGAUGAAGCUUCUUCGGAAGUGGAUUAGCGGCGGACGGGUGAGUAACACGUGGGUAACCUGCCUCAUAGAGGGGAAUAGCCUUUCGAAAGGAAGAUUAAUACCGCAUAAGAUUGUAGUACCGCAUGGUACAGCAAUUAAAGGAGUAAUCCGCUAUGAGAUGGACCCGCGUCGCAUUAGCUAGUUGGUGAGGUAACGGCUCACCAAGGCGACGAUGCGUAGCCGACCUGAGAGGGUGAUCGGCCACAUUGGGACUGAGACACGGCCCAGACUCCUACGGGAGGCAGCAGUGGGGAAUAUUGCACAAUGGGGGAAACCCUGAUGCAGCAACGCCGCGUGAGUGAUGACGGUCUUCGGAUUGUAAAGCUCUGUCUUUAGGGACGAUAAUGACGGUACCUAAGGAGGAAGCCACGGCUAACUACGUGCCAGCAGCCGCGGUAAUACGUAGGUGGCAAGCGUUGUCCGGAUUUACU
rnacentral:rRNA from 1 species